rnacentral:rRNA from 1 species
CCUAACACAUGCAAGUGGAACGAUAUAGUGGCAGACGGGUGAGUAACGCGUGGAAACGUGCCUUUCACUACGGAAUAGCUCUUGGAAACGAGUGGUAAUACCGUAUACGCCCUCCGGGGGAAAGAUUUAUCGGUGAAAGAUCGGUCCGCGUUAGAUUAGCUAGUUGGUGGGGUAAAAGCCUACCAAGGCGACGAUCUAUAGCUGGUCUGAGAGGAUGAUCAGCCACACUGGGACUGAGACACGGCCCAGACUCCUACGGGAGGCAGCAGUGGGGAAUAUUGGACAAUGGGCGAAAGCCUGAUCCAGCCAUGCCGCGUGAAUGAUGAAGGCCUUAGGGUUGUAAAAUUCUUUCGCCAGGGAUGAUAAUGACAGUACCUGGUAAAGAAGCCCCGGCUAACUUCGUGCCAGCAGCCGCGGUAAUACGAAGGGGGCUAGCGUUGUUCGGAAUUACUGGGCGUAAAGCGCACGUAGGCGGAUUAUUAAGUCAGAUGUGAAAUCCCGGGGCUCAACUCCGGAACUGCAUUUGAAACUGGUAAUCUAGAGUUCAGGAGAGGUUAGCGGAAUACCGAGUGUAGAGGUGAAAUUCGUAGAUAUUCGGUGGAACACCAGUGGCGAAGGCGGCUAACUGGACUGAUACUGACGCUGAGGUGCGAAAGUGUGGGGAGCAAACAGGAUUAGAUACCCUGGUAGUCCACACCGUANACGAUGAGUGCUAGUUGUCAGCAGGCAUGCCUGUUGGUGACGCAGUUAACGCAUUA